AUCAAGCCGACGAGUCCCAAAUAGGAUGAAACGCGCUUCCUGGAU
rnacentral:hammerhead_ribozyme from 1 species